rnacentral:rRNA from 1 species
UUAUCGGAAUGAGAACAAUUCAAAUCCUUUAACGAGGAUCUAGCGGAGGGCAAGUCUGGUGCCAGCAGCCGCGGUAAUUCCAGCUCCGCAGGUGUAUAUCUAUGCUGCUGCGGUUAAAAAGCUCGUAGUUGGAUCUGCGUGCUCGGAACUGGUUGGCUCACUGAGUUCAAACUGGUCUCCGGCGCUUUAUUGGCUGGUUUUCCCUUGAUGCUCUUAACCGGGUGUCUUGGGUGGCUAGCACGUUUACUUUGAAAAAAUUAGAGUGCUCAAUACAGGCGUAAAGCCUUGAAUAGUGGUGCAUGGAAUAAUAGAAUAGGACCUCGGCUCUAUUUUGUUGGUUUUCGGAACGCGAGGUAAUGAUUAAGAGGGACAGACGGGGGCAUUCGUAUUGCGACGUUAGAGGUGAAAUUCUUGGAUCGUCGCAAGACGGACGACUGCGAAAGCAUUUGCCAAGAAUGUUUUCAUUAAUCAAGAACGAAAGUUAGAGGUUCGAAGGCGAUCAGAUACCGCCCUAGUUCUAACCGUAAACGAUGCCAACUAGCGAUUCGCAGGCGUUAAACAACGACCUUGCGGGCAGCUUCCCGGAAACGAAAGUGUUCGGGUUCCGGGGGAAGUAUGGUUGCAAAGCUGAAACUUAAAGGAAUUGACGGAAGGGCACCACCAGGAGUGGAGCCUGCGGCUUAAUUUGACCCAACACGGGAAAACUCACCCGGCCCGGACACCGUAAGGAUUGACAGAUUGAGAGCUCUUUCUUGAUUCGGUGGGUGGUGGUGCAUGGCCGUUCUUAGUUGGUGGAGCGAUUUGUCUGGUUUAUUCCGAUAACGAACGAGACUCUGGCCUACUAAAUAGUGGGCGGAUUCUUUCUGUCCGCAACACUUCUUAGAGGGACAAGCGGUGUUCAGCCGCACGAGAUUGAGCAAUAACAGGUCUGUGAUGCCCUUAGAUGUCCGGGGCUGCACGCGCGCUACACUGAAGGAAUCAGCGUGCUUUCUGACCUUGCCCGAAAGGGCUGGGUAACCCGAUGAAAAUCCUUCGUGAUUGGGAUAGGGACUUGCAAUUAUUUCCCUUGAACGAGGAAUUCCCAGUAAGUGUGGGUCAUAAGCUCGCGUUGAUUACGUCCCCGCCCUUUGUACACACCGCCCGUCACUGCCCGGAACUGAGCCGUUUCGAGAAGAACAGGGACCGUCGUUGAAGGGCCUUAACGGGCUUUUCUCUGAUAGAAACUGUU